GCCAUCAUUCAGUUGGGCACUCUAGCAAGACUGCCGGUGACAAACCGGAGGAAGGUGGGGAUGACGUCAAAUCAUCAUGCCCCUUAUGACCUGGGCUACACACGUGCUACAAUGGGAAGUACAACGAGUCGCGAAGUCGCGAGGCUAAGCUAAUCUCUUAAAGCUUCUCUCAGUUCGGAUUGCAGGCUGCAACUCGCCUGCAUGAAGCCGGAAUCGCUAGUAAUCGCGGAUCAGCACGCCGCGGUGAAUACGUUCCCGGGCCUUGUACACACCGC
rnacentral:rRNA from 1 species